rnacentral:lncRNA from 1 species
GAGGAGAACCAGGACAGUCUACUGCAUUCAGACGCUGUGUUCUAGCGUUAGCCAAUGUUAAUAGUAUCUAGGAUAACAGGAUGCUAACGUAUGCUUAUCUGCUGUCUCUACCUUCCAAAGGCCCUUCACUAUUCCAACAGCAAAGAGAAACGAGUGCUCAGAGGAGCGGCUGCCUUCCUGAGACCCAGAAGCAGAGAUACAAAAUCUGACAACGGGGACACUGGACCAGUGUCUAGCCAGAAGCUUCGGCUGCAUCGCUAAUGAUUUUAGUCAGUGUGACUCUGUGCAAAAUAUCCCAGGAAGACUCUGGCUCAUUUUCAAAGUAACAAUAAUGACGACGACAACAACAACAAGAACAAGAAGCAUCAACAAAUAUGUUUGGCAAAAUUAAAAAAUAAGCCCAUCACAUG